rnacentral:rRNA from 1 species
GACGAACGCUGGCGGCGUGCUUAACACAUGCAAGUCGAACGGAAAGGCCCUGCUUUUGUGGGGUGCUCGAGUGGCGAACGGGUGAGUAACACGUGAGUAACCUGCCCUUGACUUUGGGAUAACUUCAGGAAACUGGGGCUAAUACCGGAUAGGAGCUCCUGCUGCAUGGUGGGGGUUGGAAAGUUUCGGCGGUUGGGGAUGGACUCGCGGCUUAUCAGCUUGUUGGUGGGGUAGUGGCUUACCAAGGCUUUGACGGGUAGCCGGCCUGAGAGGGUGACCGGCCACAUUGGGACUGAGAUACGGCCCAGACUCCUACGGGAGGCAGCAGUGGGGAAUAUUGCACAAUGGGCGGAAGCCUGAUGCAGCAACGCCGCGUGCGGGAUGACGGCCUUCGGGUUGUAAACCGCUUUCGCCUGUGACGAAGCGUGAGUGACGGUAAUGGGUAAAGAAGCUCCAGCUAACUACGUG